rnacentral:rRNA from 1 species
UACCGAGGUGGCAAGCGUUGCUCGGUAUCACUGGGCUUAAAGGGCGCGUAGGCGGUGCGGUACGGUUUCGGUGAAAUCCCUCGGCCCAACCGAGGAACAGCCGGAGCUACGGCCGGACUAGACGGCAUCAGGGGACAGUGGAACUCCAGGUGGAGCGGUGAAAUGCGUAGAUAUCUGGAGGAACGCCGGUGGCGAAAGCGACUGUCUGGGGUGCCUGUGACGCUGAGGCGCGAAAGCGUGGGGAGCGAACAGG